rnacentral:rRNA from 1 species
ACAAAGUAGAACAACCGGAAGGUUGUUCUACU